rnacentral:lncRNA from 1 species
AUGGUGUCCUCCACACAUUCCUUCCAGCUAUGUCCCGACCCAAGGUCUCAACCACUAGCCACUGCUCCUCGGCUCCAUGGACGAGGAUGUUUCAAAAGUGCUCUUUGAACGUGCGUCUUGGACUAUGGUAGUGCCUUUUGUGUGGGUGGUUUGUCCACCACCGUUCUCCGUUCUAAGCAUUUGCAUGUCGGGUUACUGGUUACCCAUCUCUGGCAGUUGUGGAUCUGCAACGGCGGAGCGGCAAGUGGGAAGUGGCAGCUGUAG